rnacentral:rRNA from 1 species
CCUACGGGUGGCAGCAGUGAGGAAUAUUGGUCAAUGGACGAGAGUCUGAACCAGCCAAGUAGCGUGAAGGAUGACUGCCCUAUGGGUUGUAAACUUCUUUUAUAUGGGAAUAAAAUGUUCCACGUGUGGGAUUUUGUAUGUACCAUAUGCAUAAGGAUCGGCUAACUCCGUGCCAGCAGCCGCGGUAAUACGGAGGAUCCGAGCGUUAUCCGGAUUUAUUGGGUUUAAAGGGAGCGUAGGUGGAUUGUUAAGUCAGUUGUGAAAGUUUGCGGCUCAACCGUAAAAUUGCAGUUGAAACUGGCAGUCUUGAGUACAGUAGAGGUGGGCGGAAGUCGUGGUGUAGCGGUGAAAUGCUUAGAUAUCACGAAGAACUCCGAUUGCGAAGGCAGUUCACUGGACUGCAACUGACACUGAGGCUCGAAAGUGUGGGUAUCAAACAGGAUUAGAUACCCUAGUAGUC